rnacentral:misc_RNA from 1 species
AAGUCGUAACAAGGUUUCCGUAGGUGAACCUGCGGAAGGAUCAUUAACAAGUCCACUAUGUAGUUGCCGAUUUGAUUAUGUCAAGUUGGCACGCUAUAUAAGCCCCGUGCAGCAAUGCACGUGUGACACAUUUUAUCGUUUGACCAAAAUAUCAGCAAAAACAGAGAAAACUUUUAACAAUGGAUCUCUAGGCUCUU